AUACUUACCUGGACGGGGUCUAUGGGCGAUCAUGAAGAUCUAUGGCCUAGGUUGGUGGCCUCCAUUGCACUUUGGAGGGGGUGCUUUCCUAAGAUAUCUCCAAGUGGGAUAGUCUACGUCAUAAUUUGUUGCUAUGGGGGUACGCGUUCGCGCGGCCCCUGC